rnacentral:rRNA from 1 species
UACGGGGGGAGCAAGCGUUGUUCGGAUUUACUGGGCGUAAAGGGCGCGUAGGCGGCCACCGCAAGUCGGUUGUGAAAUCUCUGGGCUUAACCCAGAAAGGUCAACCGAUACUGCGGGGCUAGAGUGCAGAAGGGGCAACUGGAAUUCUCGGUGUAGCGGUGAAAUGCGUAGAUAUCGGGAGGAACACCAGUGGCGAAGGCGGCACUCUGGGCCGGUACUGACGCUGAGGAGCGAAAGCGUGGGGAGCGAACAGG